rnacentral:rRNA from 1 species
UACAGAGGUCUCAAGCGUUGUUCGGAUUCAUUGGGCGUAAAGCGCGUGUAGGCGGCUUGGCAAGUCAGUUGUGAAAGCCCGGGGCCCAACCCCGGAACUGCAUCUGAAACUGCCUGGCUCGAGUCCCGGAGAGGAAGGCAGAAUCCCCGGUGUAGGGGUGAAAUCCGUAGAUAUCGGGAGGAAUACCAGCGGCGAAGGCGGCCUUCUGGACGGUGACUGACGCUGAGACGCGAAAGCGUGGGGAGCAAACAGG